AACGAACGCUGGCGGCAGGCCUAACACAUGCAAGUCGAACGCUCCAGCAAUGGAGAGUGGCAGACGGGUGAGUAACGCGUGGGAACCUUCCCUAUGGUUCGGAAUAGCUCAGGGAAACUUGAGGUAAUACCGGAUAAGCCCUUCGGGGAAAGGAUUUAUCGCCAUUGGAUGGGCCCGCGUAGGAUUAGCUAGUUGGUGAGGUAACGGCUCACCAAGGCGACGAUCCUUAGCUGGUCNGAGAGGAUGAUCAGCCACACUGGGACUGAGACACGGCCCAGACUCCUACGGGAGGCAGCAGUGGGGAAUAUUGGACAAUGGGCGCAAGCCUGAUCCAGCCAUGCCGCGUGAGUGACGAAGGCCUUAGGGUUGUAAAGCUCUUUUGGCGGGAAGAUAAUGACGGUACCCGCAGAAUAAGCUCCGGCUAACUUCGUGCCAGCAGCCGCU
rnacentral:rRNA from 1 species